UACGUAGGGGGCAAGCGUUGUCCGGAAUCAUUGGGCGUAAAGAGCGCGUAGGCGGCCCUGUAAGUCCGCUGUGAAAGUCAAGGGCUCAACCCCUUGAAUGCCGGUGGAUACUGCAGGGCUAGAGUCCGGAAGAGGCGAGUGGAAUUCCUGGUGUAGCGGUGAAAUGCGCAGAUAUCAGGAGGAACACCGAUGGCGAAGGCAGCUCGCUGGGACGGUACUGACGCUGAGGCGCGAAAGCGUGGGGAGCGAACAGG
rnacentral:rRNA from 1 species